ACGAACGCUGGCGGCGUGCCUAAUACAUGCAAGUUGAGCGCUGAAGGUUGGUACUUGUACCAACUGGAUGAGCAGCGAACGGGUGAGUAACGCGUGGGGAAUCUGCCUUUGAGCGGGGGACGACAUUUGGAAACGAAUGCUAAUACCGCAUAAAAACUUUAAACACAAGUUUUAAGUUUGAAAGAUGCAAUUGCAUCACUCAAAGAUGAUCCCGCGUUGUAUUAGCUAGUUGGUGAGGUAAAGGCUCACCAAGGCGAUGAUACAUAGCCGACCUGAGAGGGUGAUCGGCCACAUUGGGACUGAGACACGGCCCAAACUCCUACGGGAGGCAGCAGUAGGGAAUCUUCGGCAAUGGACGAAAGUCUGACCGAGCAACGCCGCGUGAGUGAAGAAGGUUUUCGGAUCGUAAAACUCUGUUGGUAGAGAAGAACGUUGGUGAGAGUGGAAAGCUCAUCAAGUGACGGUAACUACCCAGAAAGGGACGGCUAACUACGUG
rnacentral:rRNA from 1 species